rnacentral:rRNA from 1 species
UAGGGAAUCUUCCGCAAUGGGCGAAAGCUUGACGGAGCAACGCUGCGUGAGUGAUGAAGGUCUUCGGAUCGUAAAACUCUGUUAUUAGGGAAGAACAAAUGUGUAAGUAACUAUGCACGUCUUGACGGUACCUAAUCAGAAAGCCACGGCUAACUACGUGCCAGCAGCCGCGGUAAUACGUAGGUGGCAAGCGUUAUCCGGAAUUAUUGGGCGUAAAGCGCGCGUAGGCGGUUUUUUAAGUCUGAUGUGAAAGCCCACGGCUCAACCGUGGAGGGUCAUUGGAAACUGGAAAACUUGAGUGCAGAAGAGGAAAGUGGAAUUCCAUGUGUAGCGGUGAAAUGCGCAGAGAUAUGGAGGAACACCAGUGGCGAAGGCGACUUUCUGGUCUGUAACUGACGCUGAUGUGCGAAAGCGUGGGGAUCAAACAGG